rnacentral:rRNA from 1 species
UACGUAGGGUGCGAGCGUUGUCCGGAAUUAUUGGGCGUAAAGAGCUCGUAGGCGGUUCGUCGCGUCGGCUGUGAAAACCCGGAGCUCAACUCCGGGCCUGCAGUCGAUACGGGCGGACUUGAGUGUUGCAGGGGAGACUGGAAUUCCUGGUGUAGCGGUGAAAUGCGCAGAUAUCAGGAGGAACACCGGUGGCGAAGGCGGGUCUCUGGGCAACUACUGACGCUGAGGAGCGAAAGCCAGGGGAGCAAACGGG